GGGGAAUUAGCUCAGCUGGUAGAGCGCGUCCAUGGCAUGGAUGAGGUCAGCGGUUCGAGCCCGCUAUUCUCCA
rnacentral:tRNA from 2 species